GACGGAGGGUGCUAGCGUUGUUCGGAAUUACUGGGCGUAAAGGGCGCGUAGGCGGCCUGUUAAGUCGGUUGUGAAAGCCCGGGGCUCAACCCCGGAACGGCAGCCGAGACUGGCGGGCUCGAGACCGGGAGAGGUGGGUGGAAUACCCAGUGUAGAGGUGAAAUGCGCAGAUAUUAGGAAGAACACCGGUGGCGAAGGCGGCUCUCUGGAACGGUACUGACGCUGAGACGCGAAAGCGUGGGGAGCGAACAGG
rnacentral:rRNA from 1 species